CGUCUCCGCUAUCGGCCUGCCUCCGACUCCCGUGGUUAACCUGCGGUCAAAAACAGUUCCUCCCUCGCCGCUUCCCCUCUCCACAAGGAACCGCAGGCAAUCUCCACGACGGCGGUUGUGGUGUGGCAUCCCGAUGGCGGAGGUAGCGCAACGUCCGGCGUCCUGGAGGCAGAUGCGGCGCGGCAUCCCUGCUGUAGAGUCCAGCAGGAAGGAUCUAGACAUGCAACACAAUCGGGAUCUGUUCGUCACCAUUGCCAAACCCUUGCCGAUAUCCAUGGUGUCCUCCAUGAAGCAGAAAGAGGUGGAGGAGCUGCUCCAGUGGGUGGAGGAGCUGGAGCAGGCUGAGGCAUGGCUGCUCGGCAAGAAGAAGGCCGCGGAAAACGUGUCGUCGAUGGCUGCGCGAGGAGGAGCAUCAGCGGCAUCUGUAUUUUUUUCCUACAUAUUCUAGACUUUGAAUUUCAUUGGAUUACUUAAUGCACUUCGAUCACCUCAUGCUCAGAAGUUGGUGUCUCCUGCUUAUUUGCUAUUUUGGUAAAAAAAGGAAGUGCUUGUCAGGAGUAUUUUAAUCAAUUGCUUUCAUCAAUUCAAAUGAUAAAAGAGUAGUAGAAAAUUGCUUACUAAAAAGUCUGACAGUUAUUUUAUAUACUUACUGAAAACUCACACACAUGAAUAUUGGAUUUCCUUUCAUUUUGUGGUGAUGAUGGUGUUUAGUUCUAUCACAGACGCAAUGUCUUGAAGCAAAGAGAUUGAGGUGUAUCUCAUUUUGUACAAAUUUCUACUUUGAAUAAAGACAAAGACAUGUAUAAAAGUUUGGGUGAUAAGUACAGGUGAGCAAUUUUUUAGCGCCAAUAUCACAUUCAACCCACAUUCUUGUUUGCAAAAAAAGGUUUUAAUUUGAGCUUCAGCAUGUACUUGAUAAAGAGGUCUGGGAACCUGCAAAUUAUUUUGGGGAGGGCUCCAACAAAUUUAGUUUCAUAUGUUAAUUAAUUAUACUAAGGAUUCAGACACACGGAUUGCUAUUCUGAUUGUAUUGGUGUUUAUCAUAUCCUACCGCAGAAAUAGUUAUGCAUUUGCUCUUUGCUGUGAAGACAUUGCACAGUGACAUGCCAUUCUCAAUCCUGUCAUUUUGCCUUCUGAGCAUGUGGAGGGGGAGGAGCCUACUACUGCAAUGGAUGCAGCGACAUGAGGUUAGCACUUUCUCUAGGUUGAACUGAGAGUCUAUUUUCUAUGAUUGGAAACCAGGAAUGGAACAUACAGUGGAAAACAUAUUGCCAGCGUUAAAAGGGAGAUGUGAACUCAGAAUCACAGGCUAUACCACCAAUCUCAUGAAGGUAACAUAGAUCAAAGAGUACAGCAGAAAGGGAUGACUCUUAGAUGUGUCAUGGAAUCUAUGUCCAUUGCAAUGCACUCUACGGUAUUUUCUUCAGUGUCUGCUGUUUUACAUAUCAUCAUCUGCCUUUUUAUUGCACUCUAUAGUAUGUUGAGUAAUCUGUUUAGGCCUGGUAUUUUCUUCAGGAAGUAUGAUAUUAGAACUGCUAUUAUUGUUGCUCAUGAUGAGACACGUGCCACCACUAUUCAACACCGUAUUCAGCACCGUGAUCCAAGCGUGUUUGGUUUGAAGCGCCCACCUAUUCUUAGUCAUGCUGACAGCAGAGAGGCGACUGAGGAGGUGCGUUGAGAAUGCUGGUGGUGUUGCGUGAUCAUUUAGUAUAGGUUGGUGUCUGUUGUUGAGAAUCAGUCAACAACGAAAGGCGCCUACACCGAGGGGCUCCUCAACACCAAGCCCAUUCAAGUGUGUUGCUUAUGCUCGUAACCUGCUUAGCAGAAUGCCAUAGUUUUUUCAUGCCAGCAAGCAAUACAGGCCUUACCACUUAUGGAUAUGCCAUAUAUUCUUACAACCACUAGAAAUGUGAAAUUAUGAUUUUGGCUUGACAUGGCUUUCAGUUGUAGUAAUAAGUUUUUUGUUGAUGAAUCAUUGUUUACACGAUGCUUGCCAUUUGCUCUGCUCUAUCUGUCAAUGAUUAGAUCUGCAAUUAUCAUAGCAAUUGCAUAAACAGAUAGUUUUCUUUUUGUCCUGAUUGGGUCUCAAACAAACCAACAUGUAAGAUAUCACGUAGACAUGAGUCUUCACUUGUUUAAGCACAUUUCCAUACAUUAUGCUUUAGACUAAUCUUACCUAAGGAAUAUACUUUUGUUGUUUUUAACAACAGUGCAUUGGUUCCAUUCUUACUAGAAAGCUGGUUCUCAUUUAUGUCUCUUAUCUGAGAACUUGGUUUCAUACAUGCAUUGACUAAUUACAAAUGUUUUACUACAAAAAUUACAUAAUAUGUCCCGCUUUUAAGAAAUUUUGCUAAUAAUAUAUCUGUUCACAUGAUUUUGGAAGCAUCAGUAAUACAUAAAUCUUAAUUUGUAGAUAUUAGGAGGAUAAUAAGAAUGCAGAACAUGAUACUCACAUUGGGAAUGUGUUAACACCUGCUUUGUAGCUCAUGUAAUAUUUUUUCUCUUUAGUCAGAUGUGCAAAUUUUUCAGAAAGACUACCAUAGAAUGCAGGGUUCUAGAAAAAUGUCAUCGAUGCAGAGAUUAUGACAUGGGUAACAAGCAACAUAUAGGGAAGAGGAUUUUCUUGUUGAAAGGAUUGAGAUGUCGCGUAGGGGGAGGUUUUCCUGAUAGAAGGCACAUGUGCACACUAUCCCUAACAGUCAGUAUUUACUUGCCUGGGCCGGUCUUCUCUCAUGGGCAAGUUGUAUGUUGCUGUCUAGAUCCACUGCUAGAAAAAAUUAUCAAAUCGUUGCCAAAUGGAAUAAGGAUCAUUAUUUUGUCUAUAGAGGUUCUUGAUAAGCACAAUCUGUAAUGAUGAUCAGGUAAGUUUCAUAGAUAGUUCAUGGCUAAAACUUUUCCCGUGUUAACUUAGUGUCUUUUUAAUAUGUGCAAAAGACUGAACAAUUGCAGGCAAGAGAAGCUAUUUUAGGUAAUGGUUGACUUAUUCUUUUGACAAGACUCACCCUUCAGAAAUGUACUUCAAGCGAUAUGUUCUUGUAUGCAUCAAAUUGGAGAUGUGAGGAUGAGAGAGAGAAAGAGAGAGGAGGGAGGGAGGGAGAGAUGUCCAUUUUUUUUGGUGGAAACAAAAAAGGCAGCUGUUAUAAUAAAAGGUGGCGAGAGGUCCACAUUUCAAUGGUUUUUCCUUCACUGUUCCAAGUGUUGAUUCAUCAAAAUAUUAUAUUAUUUACACAUGCAAAACAAUUUAAACUGGUGGAUAUCAUGUUCUGAACUUGCUUGUAAUUGAAUUUUUGAAGAGUGUUUGUAUU